rnacentral:rRNA from 1 species
GACGAACGCUGGCGGCGUGCCUAAUACAUGCAAGUAGAACGCUGAAGGAGGAGCUUGCUCUUCUGGAUGAGUUGCGAACGGGUGAGUAACGCGUAGGUAACCUGCCUGGUAGCGGGGGAUAACUAUUGGAAACGAUAGCUAAUACCGCAUAAGAGUAGAUGUUGCAUGACAUUUGCUUAAAAGGUGCAAUUGCAUCACUACCAGAUGGACCUGCGUUGUAUUAGCUAGUUGGUGGGGUAACGGCUCACCAAGGCGACGAUACAUAGCCGACCUGAGAGGGUGAUCGGCCACACUGGGACUGAGACACGGCCCAGACUCCUACGGGAGGCAGCAGUAGGGAAUCUUCGGCAAUGGACGGAAGUCUGACCGAGCAACGCCGCGUGAGUGAAGAAGGUUUUCGGAUCGUAAAGCUCUGUUGUAAGAGAAGAACGAGUGUGAGAGUGGAAAGUUCACACUGGACG